UACGGGGGGGGCAAGCGUUGUUCGGAAUUACUGGGCGUAAAGGGCUCGUAGGCGGCCAACUAAGUCGGAUGUGAAAUCCCCAGGCUUAACCUGGGAAUUGCAUCCGAUACUGGAUGGCUUGAAUCCGGGAGAGGGAUGCGGAAUUCCCAGUGUAGCGGUGAAAUGCGUAGAUAUUGGGAGGAACACCAGUGGCGAAGGCGGCUCACUGGACCGGAACUGACGCUGAGACACGAAAGCGUGGGUAGCAAACAGG
rnacentral:rRNA from 1 species